UGGGGAAUUUUGGACAAUGGGCGAAAGCCUGAUCCAGCAAUGCCGCGUGUGUGAAGAAGGCCUUCGGGUUGUAAAGCACUUUUGUCCGGAAAGAAAUCCUUGGCUCUAAUACAGUCGGGGGAUGACGGUACCGGAAGAAUAGGCACCGGCUAACUACGUGCCAGCAGCCGCGGUAAUACGUAGGGUGCAAGCGUUAAUCGGAAUUACUGGGCGUAAAGCGUGCGCAGGCGGUUUGCUAAGACCGAUGUGAAAUCCCCGGGCUCAACCUGGGAACUGCAUUGGUGACUGGCAGGCUAGAGUAUGGCAGAGGGGGGUAGAAUUCCACGUGUAGCAGUGAAAUGCGUAGAGAUGUGGAGGAAUACCGAUGGCGAAGGCAGCCCCCUGGGCCAAUACUGACGCUCAUGCACGAAAGCGUGGGGAGCAAACAGGAUUAGAUACCCUGGUAGUCCAGCGCCCUAAACGAUGUCAACUAGUUGUUGGGGAUUCAUUUCCUUAGUAACGUAGCUAACGCGUGAAGUUGACCGCCUGGGGAGUACGGUCGCAAGAUUAAAACCUCAAAGGAAUUGACGGGGUCAUAGCUGUUUCCU
rnacentral:rRNA from 1 species